rnacentral:rRNA from 1 species
UACCAGCACCCCGAGUGGUCGGGACGAUUAUUGGGCCUAAAGCAUCCGUAGCCGGUCAUGCAAGUCCUCCGUUAAAUCCAGCCGCUCAACGGUUGGGCUGCGGAGGAUACUACGCGGCUAGGAGGCGGGAGAGGCAAGCGGUACUCAGUGGGUAGGGGUAAAAUCCUUUGAUCCAUUGAAGACCACCAGUGGCGAAGGCGGCUUGCCAGAACGCGCUCGACGGUGAGGGAUGAAAGCUGGGGGAGCAAACCGG